rnacentral:rRNA from 1 species
UACAGACGGCGCAAGCGUUAUCCGGAAUGAUUGGGCGUAAAGCGUCUGUAGGUGGUUCGCGAAGUCUACUGUCAAAUCCCAGGGCUCAACCUUGGACAGGCAGUGGAGAACUCGCGGACUAGAGUACGGUAGGGGUAGAGGGAAUUCCCGGUGAAGCAGUGAAAUGCACAGAGAUCGGGAAGAACACCAGUGGCGAAGGCGCUCUACUAGGCCGUGACUGACACUGAGAGACGAUAGCUGGGGGAGCGAAUAGG